CUGACAUGCAUGCGAGUCGACGGGUUCUGAAACCUGGGAUGCGCAAGGAAGCUGACGAGCGGGAGGCCCUCACGGGCCGCACCGCUGGCCGACCCUGAUCUUCUGUGAAGGGUUCGAGUUGGAGCACGCCUGUCGGGACCCGAAAGAUGGUGAACUAUGCCUGAGCGGGGCGAAGCCAGAGGAAACUCUGGUGGAGGCUCGAAGCGAUACUGAUGUGCAAAUCGUUCGUCUGACUUGGGUAUAGGGGCGAAAGACUAAUCGAACCAUCUAGUAGCUGG
rnacentral:rRNA from 1 species